rnacentral:rRNA from 1 species
AGUAGUUUGAUCCUGGCUACAGAACACGCUGGCGGCAUGCCUAACACAUGCAAGUCGAACGAGACCUUCGGGUCUAGUGGCGCACGGGUGCGUAACGCGUGGGGAUCUGCCCUUUGCUUCGGAAUAACAGUUAGAAAUGACUGCUAAUACCGGAUGAUGACUUCGGUCCAAAGAUUUAUCGGCAAAGGAUGAACCCGCGUAGGAUUAGCUAGUUGGUGGGGUAAAGGCCUACCAAGGCGACGAUCCUUAGCUGGUCUGAGAGGAUGAUCAGCCACACUGGGACUGAGACACGGCCCAGACUCCUACGGGAGGCAGCAGUGGGGAAUAUUGGACAAUGGGCGAAAGCCUGAUCCAGCAAUGCCGCGUGAGUGAUGAAGGCCUUAGGGUUGUAAAGCUCUUUUACCCGGGAUGAUAAUGACAGUACCGGGAGAAUAAGCUCCGGCUAACUCCGUG